rnacentral:rRNA from 1 species
ACAAUAUACAAGGUGCUGCAUGGUUGUCGUCAGCUCGUGCCGUGAGGGUGUCGGGUUAAGUCCCAUAACGAGCGCAACCCUUGUCCUUAGUUACCAGCACGUUAUGGUGGGCACUCUAAGGAGACUGCCGGUGACAAACCGGAGGAAGGUGGGGAUGACGUCAAGUCAUCAUGGCCCUUACGGCCUGGGCUACACACGUGCUACAAUGGUCGGUACAAAGGGUUGCCAAGCCGCGAGGUGGAGCUAAUCCCAUAAAACCGAUCGUAGUCCGGAUCGCAGUCUGCAACUCGACUGCGUGAAGUCGGAAUCGUUAGUAAUCGUGAAUCAGAAUGUCACGGUGAAUACGUUCCCGGGCCUU